GUGUCAGUAGCUCAGCUGGAUAGAGCAACGGCCUUCUAAGCCGUUGGCCGGGGGUUCGAAUCCCUCCUGACACGCCA
rnacentral:tRNA from 1 species